rnacentral:lncRNA from 1 species
UUAUAAUACAUUUACACUACGAAGAUGAACGAAACAUUCGUUUGUCAAAUUAAAACAGUAUUCGGUGCGUCGAAGGUUGGAAGGGGAAUUGACACAAGUAGGGGCAUUAUAAGACUAUAAGUUAUAACAUCUGCGAGAGAAACAAUGCUUCGCGAGGAGAAAGAUAGUGUUCGCAUAUUUUGUUGUGAAAUAUAGCAUGUCUACCCACAGGGGGUCCAACGAAGAGCUGUGUUAUGAAUAUGAAUAAAACAUUAAUUAAACGUAAUAUGAAUAAAACAUCAUAACGUAAUAAAUUUAAAUUAUUGCACUUACUUGUUUAAAUCAUAAGAGCUUGCAUUUACAAUGAAUAGCUUCAAACAGGACGCUUAUAUAUGCUCAGAAACAUUGAUUAGAACGAUUGUUCAAAUAUGGCGAAUAAAUUGACAAAACGAAAAUAUUACAUGACGUUCCAACGAAAAUAACAGAAAGGAUUGCGGGCGCGGAGCGAAAAGGCGAGGGAAGAAAUAAAUAUUCGCCAGCAAGAUAGUGCUUCGUACAAAUUCGUAGCAAACUAAACCAUGGCAUGCAUGCCACCGUCUACGCAAUGAAGUCAGUAAGCUUAUAAAUGUUAGAUCACGCAAAGUACAGUAUGUACUGUAAAUACUUUUAGUUCGCUACCUUGUAAAAUACAAUGGAAACAUCUUUAAAAUUGUAUAAACCAGUAACGAAACAUUGUCUACGGGUGACCUGUGGAAUGUCGAAUUUGACACCAAAAAAAGGGAAAAAAGAAGAAAGGCUCCCCAUUCUUAUACUCGUGCUGCCAAAGGCCUGGCACGAGUAAUAAAGAGCAAGGAAAAUGGUCAGAAAUUGAAGACGUUAAGAAGUGCGAAACAGAAGAAAAAACAUUCAAACGUCCAGACGGAAACGGCAAAGUCGCAGAUGAUUUGGAGAAUUAAAGCUUGCGGUGCAAGUGUAAGUGACGGGGAUGUGAAAGAAAUUGCCAGACGAAUUGGUGGAAGAUACCAUUGGCGUGCUUUCUUUUGACACAAAAUUUAAUUUAAAUACAAUCCUAACCCUAGCCUUACAUUAAUCUUGACCCCACUGUUAUUCUAAGCCUAACAUUAAAGCCUGAUUCACACUAGCAAUUUUGUCGGCGAUUUUGUGUUUCUGACGGAUGCAAAUGGGUGAACUCGCACACAAAAGUAUAGAGUCGCUUUUUAGAAGUAAACAAUUCUAAGUCUUUUGCAUGUCAUUCAUUCGAUCACAUUUUCCAGGAGGAGAAAACUCGUCUACAAAAUUGCUAGUGUGAAUCAGGCUUAAUCCCAACCCUAACAUUAAUCCUAACCUUUAAUUUCUAAUCAUAACACUAAUCCUUGUGAUGUCGUUCUAUGAUAGCAUUGACAAGUUUACAGGAAAUCUGGUAUCCAACUUGGGUGUAAUUAAAAUAUUGAUGUACAAUUUUUAAGUUUGUAUUCUUUCCAAAUGUACUUGUAGCCUGCGAACACACUGACCAGUGAUGGCCCAAAAUACGACACCAUACAGAUCAUGAAUAACGCAUUUGCAACCACGUGACGUGGCCAAUAUUUCAGCCAGACCUUUCGCAUUGGGAUGUCAUAAUAGUGAAUUUGAAUGAAAACUGAAAUCAUGUUGAAUACAAAAUCUAAGGCCAAACUUAUGGCUAUCCUGGUCAAAGAACCUUGUAUAACUUGCCAGGGUGAGAUAUCGAAACUCAUUACAAGAUAACACGCCAAAUAUGCCUGACUUAAGAUUACCGUAAUGUACUCGAAUAAGAUAUUCUGAAUUUCAAGAUCUGCGUUAAAUCGACGAAUACGUGAUGAAUUUAAAGGUUGGACUUCUAAUCUUGGGCCACAGUAAGUGUUGUUUAGACAUUUGAUGAAAAACUUCUACAUUUUUAUACGAAAGUUAAGCGUUGCUUUACUGAGAACAUUUGAGACACCAUGUAACAGAGAUAAUCCGAUGAAAAGCCAGAUAUUUUGAAAAUGUGAUUGCAUUGUUCGGUACAGUACAAUGGAAGCCCCGCGUAGGAAAUAACACAAUACAAAAGCACGAUCUGGUGUAAUAAUCUCCGAGCUCUUUCUCAGUAAAAGGUAUUUUGCAAUCGCAGUUACAGGGAAAAAUAUCCCUGGCGUGAGUGCAGCGAUUAUCGCUUUUCUGAUCUUGCCUUCUGUUUCCUUAAAAUCUUUGAUAAUAAUAUAGGUGUAGAUAUAAGCAAUUAAGCAGGAACUCAGAAAAGCGAACGAAAGGAUGAAAAAAAUAUGAAACAAACUGUAGGAUGUUGCCGGGUUGACUUUCUUGAAUUUACGAGCAACUAGG